CAUAGCCGCGGUAAUACGGAGGGUGCAAGCGUUAAUCGGAAUUACUGGGCGUAAAGCGCACGCAGGCGGUCUGACAAGUCAGAUGUGAAAUCCCCGGGCUUAACCUGGGAACUGCAUUUGAAACUGUCAGGCUGGAGUCUUGUAGAGGGGGGUGGAAUUCCAGGUGUAGCGGUGAAAUGCGUAGAGAUCUGGAGGAAUACCGGUGGCGAAGGCGGCCCCCUGGACAAAGACUGACGCUCAGGUGCGAAAGCGUGGGGAGCAAACAGGAUUAGAUACCCGGGUAGUCCCUGUCUCUUAUACC
rnacentral:rRNA from 1 species